CGGGGAGAAGCUCUCAGGGCCGUCGGGGAUACUCCGCUCUCUCCGGCUUCGAGCGCUGUCAGUGCUGGGACGCCGGGCUGGCUCCUAGCUGCGAGGCGGGCAGCAGACGGGUUAUUAGGGUUAUUAGUGUUAUUGUCAUUAUCUCUCCCUUCCCCUGUGGUUGUGUGUCUCUCCACCACUUUCAGACCAGCCCAUUAUAACGCCGGCGAGAGGCGGAGCCAGGACAAAGAUCUGAAAGGGUGGUGGGUGGAGAAGCAAGGUAGCAAAGGUCCCUCCCCUUGCCGGGUAUUUCGAACGAAGCCGCAGUUCGGCGCGACUAAGCAGAUCCGGCCCGCCUCCCAGCAACCUUCUCUCCAUCCUAGAGCUCCUGAUGUCUCAAGCCAUCAAUUCAUGGGAAUAACCUGUUCCAGAUACCUUGUUGUACCUCUCACACCACACACCGAGUUUUCACUAUCAGUGGCAGGCCUGGGAGACAGAAGGGUGUUCCCCAAUACCUCAGAAAGUGAGCUGAAAAGGUUGUAA
rnacentral:lncRNA from 1 species